GGAGAGUUGUCCGAGCGGUUUAAGGUGCGGCUCUCGAAAAGCCGUGUGCCUACAAAGCACCGUGGGUUCGAAUCCCAUGCUCUCCG
rnacentral:tRNA from 1 species